AUAAUACGGCACCGCGGGGGCGACUGCCGAGCGGGGGUUUGGAGAUGAAUGCGGUGUUGAAGAAUAUUGGUAUUAUCGGUGCCGGCCAGAUGGGCUGCGGCAU
rnacentral:sRNA from 8 species